rnacentral:rRNA from 1 species
UACGAGGGGGGCAAGCGUUGUUCGGAAUUAUUGGGCGUAAAGGGUGCGUAGGCGGUUUGGUAAGUCUUAUGUGAAAUCUACAGGCUCAACUUGUAGUCUGCAUGAGAAACUGCCGGGCUUGAGUAUGGGAGAGGUGAGUGGAAUUCCUGGUGUAGCGGUGAAAUGCGUAGAUAUCAGGAGGAACACCAAUGGCGAAGGCAGAUCUCUGGGCCGUAACUGACGCUGAGGAGCGAAAGCAUGGGGAGCGAACAGG